GGGUUGCUAACUCAACGGUAGAGUACUCGGCUUUUAAAUGCGGCUAGUAUCUUUUACACAUUUAGAUGAAGCAGGGGAUUCAUCUAUACCAUCGGUAAAGUUUGAAAGACCACGACUGAUCCUGAAAGGGAAUGAAUGGAAAAAACAGCAUGUCGGAUUGAGGGAGAGUUCUGAUAAUGUUUCAUUUUUACCGGAUCAGUAGAAAA